GAUGAACGCUGGCGGCGUGCCUAAUACAUGCAAGUCGAGCGAACAGAUGAGGAGCUUGCUCCUCUGACGUUAGCGGCGGACGGGUGAGUAACACGUGGAUAACCUACCUAUAAGACUGGGAUAACUUCGGGAAACCGGAGCUAAUACCGGAUAAUAUAUUGAACCGCAUGGUUCAAUAGUGAAAGACGGUUUUGCUGUCACUUAUAGAUGGAUCCGCGGCGCAUUAGCUAGUUGGUAAGGUAACGGCUUACCAAGGCAACGAUGCGUAGCCGACCUGAGAGGGUGAUCGGCCACACUGAAACUGAGACACGGUCCAGACUCCUACGGGAGGCAGCAGUAGGGAAUCUUCCGCAAUGGGCGAAAGCCUGACGGAGCAACGCCGCGUGAGUGAUGAAGGUCUUCGGAUCGUAAAACUCUGUUAUUAGGGAAGAACAAAUGUGUAAGUAACUAUGCACGUCUUGACGGUACCUAAUCAGAAAGCCACGGCUAACUACGUG
rnacentral:rRNA from 1 species